CAAAAGACGUAUAUUAGACGUCUAGUCUAAGUUUAUACUUCAUUUCAACGUCGGCAUUCAGUCUAUUUUUAGACGUGAUUUAUACUUCGCCCUUAACUUCAUUUUUCGAUAACUUUUUAUGCAAUAAACAACUGUAAUGUGCAUAACUGACCUCUAAAUACUGGAUAACAUUACCUAUGAUACCGUGGAGUGUUGAGUGUUCUUGUUUUUAUAAAUUUGCAAAAUGUUCAAAAAAAAGUUUUUUGCUGUCAUUAUGGGGUAAUUUGUGCAGAAUUUUUGAGGGGAAAAAAAGGAAUUUAGUCCAUUUUGGAAUAAGGCUGUAACAUAACAAAAUGUGGAAAAAGUGAAGUGAUAUGAAUACUUUCCAGAUGCACUGUAUGUGCAGUGGAGCUCGCGUGUGCCGAGUAUUAGCAUUAGUGAGCUAUCGUCGGCGAUCACACAGCCGAUCAAUCAUCGAGUUAUAGGACAAAUAAAAGCACAAAACUGAUGCUUCAACUGCGAGCUAACUGUUUAAGGUGAAUGAAUGAAAUAUGGGAUGCAGGGCGUAUGGUGCAGAGUCCACUGUUUGUUGCACCAGCAGUGGGUUACUUGAUUGGCAGGUCACUGCAUGUCUCCUUGAGUGAAAGCAGCACAAUCUCGGAAAUGUGAACAAGGAAGCCAGGAAGAACACAUGCAUUGACUGAGAGGAGCUGCUCAUAGAUCAUGCUAGUUUAGGUUUUAAAUCAACCCUAUUAGGUGGAUCUCGUUUGCCGUUCAUACCUCCACCGUUACCUGAAGUAGCCAUUGUUUAUGUCAUCACGUGACGCGACAACGCAUGGUCUUUGCAUUGACGCAUGUUCUUUGCGUCAAUGAAAUUUUGUAGUCGAUUACAUCGACAAAUCGCCCCAGCCUUAGUCUCAUCUGAUACCAACAGGGGUUUUUGUUUGUUUGUUUGUUUGUUUUCUGUGGGUCAUGUCAAAGGGCAUCAGUGUUUCUUUCAGGCAGAAUAAAAAUCAGACAAAAACAAUUCUCAUAUAAGCUUUAAAAUCUGUUUGCAAUGCAAAAUAAUGGAAAUUAAAACAUGUGAUCAAGGUGCAAUUAAUCACGAUCAGUCAUGGCUAUUCAGAGAUCAAUCACCACUAUAAAAUGGUUGUUUGACAGCCCUAGUUAUAAGUUGUUGUAUUCCUUUCUCCAAAUAUAAGAAGUGGGACCAAUAAGGUUCAUACUAUCAGGAUCUUUGUAUAAAAAACACCUUGGGCCUCAUGUAUCAACGCUUGCGGCGCAAGAAAACCUUGCGUACGCCAAAAUCGGCGCACACGUCCAGAUUUAUCAUCGCGAAACGAGCGUCGGUUCCAGCGCUAAUCAACGCAAAGUCAGGAGGUGGUGUAGAAAUUGGCGUUGAGCUGGAUAUUUGCGUUGACUGUGAUUCGCACUUUGGCGACGCUGUGUGGCGGUGUUUGGUGACUCACUAUGUGACCAGCGUGCACCACAUCCCCGUGGCCGGGCAGCACGUCGCCCCACAUGACGAACCAGCAGCAGACGGAGGGAUGCGAGCUGAUCCCUGCCGGGCCGCCGUCCUCGCGCGGGAGAAUCUCAUCGCCACAGUGUGAAUGGGUAAGAAGUGAAUACACAGUUCAAUGAGCCAAAUUAAUUUAUUUUCUCCACCAGACGCUCGAGGAAAUUUACGAGCCGGUCCAGCCGCUCGUUGAUCCCCGCGAUCCCCCUGAUGAUUUCUUCCUGCGAUUGCAGGACCCCCUCCGCGAGGACCCUUCCACUGCGUCCGGGUGGUCCAGCGGAAGCGCCGCGGCUGGUGGACGCUCCACCGCUUGUCGGCGCGCUGGUGCUGAUGCUGGUGCUGGGGCCGGGGGCCGGGGUGGCCCGAAUGCCGCUGGUCCUGGCCGACGACUCCGAGCCGGCGGACGGGCUGCCGCGGGCCAGGGUUCCGCAAGCCGGCGACACGGCCGACACAUUAAUUUCUGUGACACAAUAAAAAUAUUAGUUCAUUUCAAUUCCUGCUUCUGUGUAUCUGUUGCGUUUACAUCUCUCUCCACGGUAUCAUAGGUAAUGUAAUCCAGUAUUUCGAGGUCAGUUAUGCACAUAACAGUUGUUUAUUGCAUAAAAAGUUAUCGGAAAAUGAAGUUAAGGGCGAAGUAUUAAUCACGUCUAAAAAUAGACUGAAUCCCGACGUUGAAAUGAAGUAUAAACUUAGACUAGACGUCUAAUAUACGUCUUUUGCUCAGUGGGAUGACAAAGCAUGUGGACAUUUGUGUGACACGCCACUUACCCUAUAAUAAUAAUCGCCACCACCCGCUGCUCAAACGGUGUGAGGGUCUCCUCCCCCGGACCCCCACCUGUCUGGCCGGUACUCCUCCGGAGGGCAGCUGUACGCCGCUUGACCUCCACCUUGAGGUCCGACCACUGUUUUUUAAUCUCCGCGGGGGUGCGUGUCUCGGAACCCACCGCAUUCACCCUCUCGCAAACUUUCUCCCACUCCAAGCGUUUUUGUUUUGCACUGACGCCACUGGACAGGCUGCCAAACAAAACACGCUGUCGCUCCUCCACCUCCGCCACCAGCACCUCCACCUCGCACGCCGUAAAUGUAGUUUUUCUUGUCAUUUUGUCUGCGUGCGAGGACAGGGAGACCCUAUUUAAAUAAAUCUGCAUAUUUAUAGGAGGGCGUAACGAGGACGGGCCCAGUCACUCUGACAUCUGCGCUCAAUUCCACGCUGAUUGGGAUUUAUCAAGGAAACACACGUGGAUUUCGGCGCCCGCACACAUUGAUACAUACGGAUUUUUUUCAGCGUGACGGACCUUGCGUGCGCUCGUUUCUGGUAUGAGUUCCACGCAAGUGUUGAUACAUGAGGCCCCUUGUCUUUUGACGGUAACUGAUUAGCAUUUUAUCAAUAUUUUCCCUCCUUCACCUUCAAACAAAGUCUAUAUUCGUUUAUGAGAACAGUAACUGCAAGGCUUGCUUACUUCGUAUACAAGUUUAUCCUGUCCUUUGGGCCUAAAACUGUAAAUCUAGCUUUUUUAGUGAAUGAUAGCUGGAAGUCGGUGUCCAGGUGAAGAAUGAUGCUGCAGCAAGAUCAGCUGAGCAACAAGCUCCACCCACAAAUUUACUCAGUCUGUAUAAACAUUUAAAAAAUUCCUCCUCUAAAAAUA